AAUCAACGCUGGCGGCGUGCCUCAGACAUGCAAGUCGAACGCGAAAGUUCCCUUCGGGAGCGAGUAGAGUGGCGCACGGGUGAGUAACACGUAGGUAAUCUACCUCAGGGUGGGAAUAACAGGCCGGAAACGGCUGCUAAUACCGCAUAAUGCAGCGGCACCCACAUGGUGACAGUUGUUAAAGCGGGGAUCGUAAGACCUCGC
rnacentral:rRNA from 1 species